CUGUAAAGAAACAGGCAACAUGGGGGCCCAGUGUGCAAUGGCUGCAAACAGCAGCUUCCCUGGUAGUGAUGCAGCCUGUUUGUUGUAUGGGUUGCUCUAAAGGAUCUUGGAGACAGUC
rnacentral:snoRNA from 1 species